rnacentral:ncRNA from 3 species
CCUGCCCUUUGUACACACCGCCC